rnacentral:lncRNA from 1 species
CCGGCCCGGAACCUGAACGGGUCGAAAAAUUCACGACCAGGACCGGCCCGGUAGACCCGUUUGUCACCUUUACUUACAAUUACACCAAGAAUAAUUUUGUACAUAGCUCGACCCUUAAGCUAAUCACUCAUACCAUUUUCCUUAUCAAACUGGCUGUGAACUGAUUACUAACUUUAAAACCAUUAAUGAUUCUAUAAAGUAAAAUACUACAUGAUUUCCAAAUAGUAGAAGACACUCACUAGGAUAAACUACAACUGAAGAUCUCUUGUCCCACACUUAUGCGUAUCACUCUAGCAGACUCAAACCAAAAUCACCACAAAAAACACUGAUUCCCAACAGACUAACAUAGAUCUAAACAUAUCACUCCAGCAGAUCAAACCAAAAUCACCAUAAACAAACACUGAUUCCCAACAGACUAACAUAGAUCUAAACAAAUUCAAUUCUACU